rnacentral:rRNA from 1 species
UACGUAGGGACCAAGCGUUGUUCGGAUUUACUGGGCGUAAAGGGCGCGUAGGCGGCGUGGUAAGUCACUUGUGAAAUCUCUGAGCUUAACUCAGAACGGCCAAGUGAUACUGCUGUGCUAGAGUGCAGAAGGGGCAAUCGGAAUUCUUGGUGUAGCGGUGAAAUGCGUAGAUAUCAAGAGGAACACCUGAGGUGAAGACGGGUUGCUGGGCCAACACUGACGCUGAGGCGCGAAAGCCAGGGGAGCAAACGGG